ACCGGUUUGUGGUACAGACCUUAUGAAAGCAGUUUUAGUAAAGCAGUUCUCAGUAUUAGCGAUAUCCUUCCAGAUACUUCUUUUCCCGUGAAUUCUCUUAUUUAGUGCCCCCAUAAGUUAACGCCGAAAACAAGCCCCUAUCGCCUUAUGGCGGCCAAUAAAUAAUGAAGGAAAUUUCUAUGUCUAAUAAAAUGACUGGUUUAGUAAAAUGGUUUGACGCUGGUAAAGGUUUUGGUUUCAUUUCUCCUGCGGACGGCAGCAAAGAUGUAUUCGUGCAUUUCUCUGCUAUCCAGAGCAACGAUUUCAAAACGCUGGAUGAAGGCCAAAAGGUCGAAUUUACCAUCGAAAAUGGUCAGAAAGGCCCAUCUGCAGGCAACGUGGUUGUUCUGUAAGAUAUAAAGUCGGGUCUGAGUUCUUGCAAUAGCGAAGAUGGCGUCA
rnacentral:sRNA from 1 species